AUGACUAGGUGGACAAAGGGAAAUGAGAAACAAAAACAAAAUUAAACACUACUAGAAAAAUGGGCAAUUGUGACCAAAUUUGCUACUGAAAAGAAAAUGGUAGCAAAUUUAGUGAUUGAUUUGCCACAAAAUUGCAAAUAGUGUAUUUAGUAUGAUACGGUAGCAAAAUGAUAGGAAAUUUUGCUACCGUUUACUUUAGGUAGCAAAUUUGUGGAAAAUAUCAAAUAAUUUUAAUAAGUAUUAUAAAAAUGUCUCUAAAUCAUCCUAUAUCUUUUAAUUGCGACAAUAUUAGCGGUGGCAACAUGAAAAUUUAAUUAGGCGGGAUAAUUUUUUAAUGGAUCCGCGCAUUUCAAAAAUUGAUUAAUUAGGGUUUUAAUCAAAGAACUCCUCUACCAAGAUUCUAAAUUGCUGCUCCCUUACGUCUGAUUUGAUUGAAGAACUCAGCUUCGUGCAGAACAAACACAAGCAAUUUCACCUUUCAGGUACAGACAGUUCCUUUCCUCUUGGGUUUUGGCCUCCCAAAUUGCAAACCCUUAUCAUAGGGGGUUUGAAGAAGCCCAUGUUGGAAUGGGGACAACAGAAUUUCCCAACCUCACUUGUCUACCUAGGGUUAAGGUGUGGAGAGUCAGAAGAAGAUGAUGUGAGUAGGUGUAGUCAGUUGUCGUAUCUUCUUUCUUCAUCUCUUACUUCUCUUGGGUUAAUUGGAUUUAAGAAACUGAAAUCAGUUUCAGUCCCUCCAACAUCUCUUUUUAGGGUAUUGCCCAAAGAUGAAGCAUCUACCAGAAAAUCUGCUGCCUUCACUUUUGAGUUUAAACAUAGAUGAAUGCCCAAAAUUAGAAGGAAGGUGCAGUAGAAGAGGCUCCUAUUGGUCCCUCAUCUCUUAUAUCCCCUGCAUCAGAAUAAAAACAUAAUUUAUGUUGGUUCGUGUGAUGCAGGCAGCGCAUGUUCUUUGUCGUUUGUUUAAGAAAUCGGAAGAAAAUAUCGAUGCUUUAAAGUAUGAUGAUGCAGAACCAGCGAGUUUAUCUCCUACCGCACAGAAAUCAUCACCUGAUGAUGCAUCGCUGCAUAAUGUGUCAACGAAUGGAACGAAGAUGUGGUUGACCGACACGGCUCAUAAUUUGGCUCAUAGCUCUGCUGAUUCUUUUGAAAAUUGGGUUUCUGAUCCACUCAAAUCCUCUGAAAAGGAACCGGUUGAAAAGAGUUAUCCAGAACUUGGAGCGUAUCUGGAUUCAAGAUUUGCGAAUGAUUUUGGUAGUGAGACUCGGUUAAACUUUCAGGACGGAACAUGUGAACAGGAUGUUUGUCUCUCCGAAUUGUUGUCACUUUUACAAAACGGCAAAGAGUGCUCGAUUAACAAGUCGGCUAGUAAAAUAACAACAACAAUGGGAAGUGAAACACCCGUAUCUACAGGACCCAAUAUCGGUUCACAUUAUAGCGCGGGUAAUGAUCUGGAACAACCAACAAGCAAGACAAAUAUUCAUGCUACUGGCAGUUUUGCAAUUGGUCAACCCGAAUUCAAGUUUCGGUCCCGUGACUCCCGUUCACCUCGAACUGACCGAACUUACCCAAGCUCAGAAGAUGUUAUGGGGAAGGCACUGCUUCUAGAAGACUCUGCCUGCAGGUUAAUUCUCCAUCUCAUGGUGAAGAAACCAGUUCAGCUGAGUCUGAGGUUUGUGACAGCGUUGACGACAUUGAGAUAAGUUUUGAUUGGUCUAAGGAGACCGAUGAAGGAGACGAUCAACGGUCCAGAUCGUAGAUAAAGCAAGAUGGUUUUAGUGGCCGUAUUCAAAUUCAACCAUUGGUUUUGGUGAAGGCGUAUCGUGGUGGUUGUUUCUUGAGGUCCCUGUGGAUUCAGGUUUAUGCCUUGAUGUCUUUUAUGUCGCUUGUAUUCAAUAAGAGCCCAAUCUACUUCAAUUCUAUCCGAGAAGUGUAUGAAGCCUGGGUUAUAUAUAAUUUUCUGUCACUGUACCUCGCAUGGGUCGGUGGUCCAGGUGCCGUUGUUUUAAGUCUUACCGGACGCGUUCUCAAGUCAAACUGGUGUCUGAUGACAUGUUGCUUCCCUCCCAUUCCACUAGAUGGGUAAAUUUAGUUACACUAAAAUGACUUGAUGAUAAUGACCAACAUGUAUCACAAACUUGCCAUCAAAUGUUAUGUGAGCCUCCAUAUCAUGUACGUAUGCUGCAAGAAAGGUGAAAACUUUUUAAGUAUGAAAAACUCAGCAUACAUAUAAAAGUAUCCAUGAAUGAUCUUGUCUAAUAUGUUUAAAGACGCUGUAAUCUCUGAUGUUACUUAAUUUAAAUAAUUAAAUGUAAAUUGAAUCAUAUUAAUAUUUCUAUAUGGUCGUUAGUACAAUGUCAAAUUCUUUGUUUCCUUUGUCUUUAUUUUUUAAGACCGGUGGGUAUGGGGCGUGGGUUGUGGCGUUGAAGGGGGUUUAACGCCGGCUACACCACCCCGGCUCGGUGUUGGGCUUGGCGUUGCCCGCUUGGCGUGGAUAUUCUGCCUGGCGUGGGGCGAGGGGGCUGGGUGACGUGGCGGACUGUGGUUGGCUGGUUCAAAGUAAAGAGUUUUAACAACAAAAAAAAAUUCCACAUGGUUGGCCACGCCCAGCUAAGCGACACCCCACCACACCCCUAGUUUUUUAGUAUUAGCUUGUGGAUCCCAUGCUUGCCAAGUGUCGAGCAAUACCCCCCAACCCAAGCCCCUCCACACCCCAUAGUCUAAGUUAAAGUUAACAUGAAAUUUCGUAAUUGCAGCUAUUGUAAUCUUUUGUGUGUAGCUAGGUCCAGGUAUACAUAUGGUGUCUAUAUGACAUAGCUACAUGAACUUGAUGCGUACUUGAGGAAGCGACAACCUUACUGAAUUAUCAUGUUCAGGUGCUACGAGUGGAGUGGAGCAGAAGUUCAAAAAGGUAUUUAUGCUGCAACAAUGUUUCAUGCCAAGUGGACUACUGGCCAAUGACAUUUAGUAUGCUAACAGACUUUUCAAGAUAAAGGGCUUGCUUUGUUGCUCAUGCUGUCACAUGUUAGAUGAAAGGGUUCAAGGAUGUAUUAUGCUUCUACUUGAGCAAUUGCGAACGCGGGAAGCGAUGUCUCACUAAAUUUUCACGUUUGAGGUGCUACCAAGGAAGCAAAUGUCUAACCAGAUUUUUUUGCAUAGGUAAAUUCUUCGUUAUGAUACCGAUUUCAUGUCUGAGAUUGAAAAGUUGAACUUAGUUAUCAAGGAGCUCGUUAAGGAAACUGAUGAAGAAAAAGAAAGGCUAAAUGGAAUUAUUGUCGGGUUGUUGGUUGAAAAAGAAAAAGAUAAGGUGGAUAAAGAUGCUAUGCUGGAUACGAUGUCACAAAUUGAAGCAAUGUUAACAAGUACAAUUUGAAGAUAAGCGACAAACACUUGGUUUUGAAUGUUUCGAUGUUUAUCGUGUUAGGAUUUUUUAGUUAUUUGAUGUUUUAGCUGGUAUUUCUAUUAGAAUGUUCUAUAUGCUUUUGAUGCACAUAUGUUUUAUAUAAUUUUGGGUUUUCGUGAUCUUA